AAUGAACGCUGGCGGCAGGCCUAACACAUGCAAGUCGAACGGAUCCUUCGGGAUUAGUGGCGGACGGGUGAGUAACGCGUGGGAACGUACCCCUUUCUUCGGAAUAGCCUCGGGAAACUGGGAGUAAUACCGGAUAAGCCCUAUUGGGGAAAGAUUUAUCGGGAAGGGAUCGGCCCGCGUUGGAUUAGGUAGUUGGUGGGGUAAUGGCCUACCAAGCCGACGAUCCAUAGCUGGUUUGAGAGGAUGAUCAGCCACACUGGGACUGAGACACGGCCCAGACUCCUACGGGAGGCAGCAGUGGGGAAUCUUAGACAAUGGGGGAAACCCUGAUCUAGCCAUGCCGCGUGCAGGAUGAAGGCCUCGGUUGUAACUAGCUUUGUACGGAACGAACGGCGAGCUCUAAUACAGUU
rnacentral:rRNA from 1 species